AUACGGAGGAUCCGAGCGUUAUCCGGAUUUAUUGGGUUUAAAGGGAGCGUAGAUGGAUGUUUAAGUCAGUUGUGAAAGUUUGCGGCUCAACCGUAAAAUUGCAGUUGAUACUGGAUAUCUUGAGUGCAGUUGAGGCAGGCGGAAUUCGUGGGGUAGGGGUGGAAUGCUUAGAUAUCACGAAGAACUCCGAUUGCGAAGGCAGCCUGCUAAGCUGCAACUGACAUUGAGGCUCGAAAGUGUGGGUAUCAAACAGGAUUAGAUACCCUGGUAGUCCACACGGUAAACGAUGAAUACUCGCUGUUUGCGAUAUACGGCAAGCGGCCAAGCGAAAGCGUUAAGUAUUCCACCUGGGGAGUACGCCGGCAACGGUGAAACUCAAAGGAAUUGACGGGG
rnacentral:rRNA from 1 species